rnacentral:rRNA from 1 species
AUUGAACGCUGGCGGCAGGCCUAACACAUGCAAGUCGAACGAGUGGCGGACGGGUGAGUAAUGUCUGGGAAACUGCCCGAUGGAGGGGGAUAACUACUGGAAACGGUAGCUAAUACCGCAUACCAUCGGAUGUGCCCAGAUGGGAUUAGCUAGUAGGUGGGGUAACGGCUCACCUAGGCGACGAUCCCUAGCUGGUCUGAGAGGAUGACCAGCAGCACUGGUACUGGGACACGGCCCAGAGUCCUACGGGCGGCAGCAGUGGGGAAUAGGGCACAAUGGGAGCAAGCCUGAUGCAGCCAUGCCGAGUGUAUGAAGAAGGCAUUCGGGUUGUAAAGUGCUUUCAGCGAGGAGGCGGUACUCGCAGAAGAAGCACCGGCUAACUCCGUGCCAGCAGCCGCGGUAAUAC